rnacentral:rRNA from 1 species
CCUACGGGUGACAGCAGUGAGGAAUAUUGGUCAAUGGACGAGAGUCUGAACCAGCCAAGUAGCGUGAAGGAUGACUGCCCUAUGGGUUGUAAACUUCUUUUAUAUGGGAAUAAAAUGUUCCACGUGUGGGAUUUUGUAUGUACCAUAUGAAUAAGGAUCGGCUAACUCCGUGCCAGCAGCCGCGGUAAUACGGAGGAUCCGAGCGUUAUCCGGAUUUAUUGGGUCUAAAGGGAGCGUAGGUGGAUUGUUAAGUCAGUUGUGAAAGUUUGCGGCUCAACCGUAAAAUUGCAGUUGAAACUGGCAGUCUUGAGUACAGUAGAGGUGGGCGGAAUUCGUGGUGUAGCGGUGAAAUGCUUAGAUAUCACGAAGAACUCCGAUUGCGAAGGCAGUUCACUGGACUGCAACUGACACUGAGGCUCGAAAGUGUGGGUAUCAAACAGGAUUAGAUACCCGGGUAGUC